AGUAGCUGGAGAACAAUCAAACAGCUGGAAAGCCUCGACCCGUUCGAGCUACCGGAGAAUGCUAGGUUUUUGUGCAAAGUUUCCCUGGUGAAGAUAGACUGCACCAAUGGCUGGUGCUAUCGUGGAUGCUUCGACUGCAAACGGUGGAUCAGCCAGAACGGAAGCGAGGUCUGGUGCAGCCAAUGUGCUUCAGUUAACAAGAAGAGGAAGAGGCUGGUUUGGUUGUACAAGCUGGAUGCGGUGGUGGAAGAUGCCACCGGCACAAUGAACCUUAG